CGGGGCGUAGCGCAGCUUGGUAGCGCAUCUGCUUUGGGAGCAGAGGGUCGCAGGUUCAAAUCCUGUCGCCCCGACCA
rnacentral:tRNA from 2 species